ensembl:lncRNA
GUUGGAGUAAUGGUAGGGGUUGUUGUUGGGGUAAUGGUAAGGGUUGUCGUUGGAGUAAUGGUAGGGGUUGUUGUUGGGGUAAUUGUAGGGGUUGUUGUUGGGGUAAUGGUAGGGGUUGUUGUUGGAAUAAUGGUAGGGGUUGUUGUUGGGGUAAUUGUAGGGGUUGUUGUUGGGGUAAUGGUAAGGGUUGUCGUUGGGGUAAUGGUAAGGGUUGUCGUUGGGGUAAUGGUAGGGGUUGUUGUUGGGGUAAUGGUAGGGGUUGUUGUUGGGGUAAUGGUAAGGGUUGUUUGGGGUAAUGGUAAGGGUUGUCGUUGGGGUAAUGGUAGGGGUUGUUGUUGGGGUAAUGGUAGGGGUUGUUGUUGGGGUAAUGGUAAGGGUUGUCGUUGGGGUAAUGGUAAGGGUUGUUGUUGGGGUAAUGGUAGGGGUUGUGGUUGGGGUAAUGGUAGGGGUUGUUGUUGGGGUAAUGGUAGGGGUUGUCGUUGGGGUAAUGGUAGGGGUUGUUGUUGGGGUAAUGGUAGGGGUUGUUGUUGGGGUAAUGGUAGGGGUUGUUGUUGGGGUAAUGGUAGGGGUUGUGGUUGGGGUAAUGGUAGGGGUUGUUUGGGGUAAUGAUUUG